rnacentral:rRNA from 1 species
UGUCGGCUCAUCUCAUCCUGGGGCUGGAGCAGGUCCCAAGGGUACGGCUGUUCGCCGUUUAAAGAGGUACGUGAGCUGGGUUUAGAACGUCGUGAGACAGUUCGGUCCCUAUCUUCCGUGGGUGUAGGAUACUUGAGAGGAGUUGCCCCUAGUACGAGAGGACCGGGGUGAACGAUCCACUGGUGUACCAGUUGUUCCGCCAGGAGCAGUGCUGGGUAGCUAUGAUCGGACAGGAUAACCGCUGAAGGCAUCUAAGCGGGAAGCCCCCCUCAA